rnacentral:rRNA from 1 species
GACGUAGGGCGCGAGCAUUGUCCGGAUUUAUUGGGCGUAAAGAGCUCGUAGGCGGCUUGUCGCGUCGAAUGUGAAAUCUCAGGGCUCAACUCUGACAUUGCAUUCGAUACGGGCAGGCUCGAGUUCGGUAGGGGAGACUGGAAUUCCUGGUGUAGCGGUGAAAUGCGCAGAUAUCAGGAGGAACACCGGUGGCGAAGGCGGGUCUCUGGGCCGAUACUGACGCUGAGGAGCGAAAGCGUGGGGAGCGAACAGG